UGUUAAAUAAUAAAUACAACUCCUUCAUCAAUUGAACUCUACUCCUAUCUUCAAUCUCUUUCUCUCCCUUUUGCAGUAAAAUGGAGCAAACUUCAAAUGAGAAGGCAGCAGAGAUCUCACAGAGUUCGAAGAAGAGCAUCACUCCUGUUCCUCUUCAACUCCCUAAAGACUCAUCCAAGUUUGCUGAAAGGUACAUGAGCCCAACAGACCGGCUCAUUUCCCCUGUUUCCAAAAGGAUUCUUGCGAGGAAUCGCCAUAAGGGCAUGACUUGCACAAUUAAACCUGAGCUCAAUGUCGGGUGAUUUUAAGUAAAAGCUCUCUGGUUCAUCACUUCAUUGGCUCCUACGACGUUACCAGACUGAAUGAUGUAAUGAAUUUUCUUCCCAUUUUUUUUUUUUUUUUGGUUGGUAUAAAUCUUAGUGCGUCUAUUGUGAUGUUGGUGGAUGUUCGUGUUUGCAAUGAAGGAAGAAUGGCGAAGAGAUAGAUAUAUGUUUCGUUUGUUCUUUUUGUGUGAUCUGUCAAAUGUUACCUACCUUUGAUGUAGUAGUAAGGAGCUAGUAUUGCGGAAUCAAAUUCGUUUCAGAAA